rnacentral:rRNA from 1 species
AAUGGCCGCAGUAAUUUGACUGUGCAAAGGUAGCAUAAUCAUUAGUUUUUUAAUUAAAAGCUUGUAUGAAUGGUUGGACGAAAUAAAAUCUGUCUCUAUUUAAUUUAUUAUAGAAAUUAAUUUUUAAGUUAAAAAGCUUAAAUUUUUUUUAAAGACGAGAAGACCCUAUAGAUCUUUAUUUUAAAAAUAGUAGAUUUAUUUAGUAAUUUUUAAUUAUUUUAUUAUUUUUAGUAUUUUAUUGGGGUAAUAUAAAGAUUUAAAUAAUUCUUUAAUUUUAUUGACAUUAAUUUAUGAUUUUUUGAUCCUUUAUUAUGGAUUAUUAGAUUAAGUUACCUUAGGGAUAACAGCGUAAUUUUUUUAGAGAGUUCAUAUCGAUAAAAAAGUUUGCGACCUCGAUGUUGGAUUAAAAAUUAUCUUAGGUGCAGAAGUUUAAGAUUUUGGUCUGUUCGACCAUUAAAUUUUU